rnacentral:rRNA from 1 species
AGUGAACGCUGGCGGUAGGCCUAACACAUGCAAGUCGAACGGCAGCACAGUAAGAGCUUGCUCUUACGGGUGGCGAGUGGCGGACGGGUGAGGAAUACAUCGGAAUCUACUUUUUCGUGGGGGAUAACGUAGGGAAACUUACGCUAAUACCGCAUACGACCUACGGGUGAAAGCAGGGGAUCUUCGGACCUUGCGCGAUUGAAUGAGCCGAUGUCGGAUUAGCUAGUUGGCGGGGUAAAGGCCCACCAAGGCGACGAUCCGUAGCUGGUCUGAGAGGAUGAUCGCCCACCCUGGAAAGGAGAAACGGUCCAGACUCCCACGGGAGGCAGCAGGGGGGAAUAUUGGACAAUGGGCGCAAGCCUGCACCAGCCAUACCGCGUGGGUGAAGAAGGCCUUCGGGUUGUAAAGCCCUUUUGUUGGGAAAAAAAAGCAGCAGGUUAAUACCCCGCUGUUCUGGCGGUACCCAAAGAAUAAGCACCGGCUAACUUCGU